GGCUGGAAGCAGCCAUGUUACAUUCAGUUCCAAUAAACUCAGAGUACAAUAAGCACUGUACUCUUUGAGCUCGUAGCAUAGUUAAACUUGGUAUCAUGGCUUAAUGGGUUAAAGUGCCUGCCUAAUAAACAGGAGAUCCUGGGUUUGAAUCUCAGCAGUGCCUCUACAUAAGACUCUGGCACAGACACGAUGGACUGAAUGGCCUCCUGUGCUGUAACAAUUGUGGUUGGCGAAAAAGUCAGAGAUAGCCCACCCAGGAGAAGAAUGGCUGCCCUGCAGCUAUUUAACAGCUGAUUGGCCAUUAAUAGACUGGAGAACAGGAAGUCCAGCCUCAAAGAGCUGCCAGCAAGUCAAAGGUGGUUUUCGUGGUUGUUGGAGAUCAAUCAUUUCAAUCCCAGGACAUUGCUGCAGGAGCUGCUCGGGGCAGUGUCCUGUAGGUGUACCUAUGCCACAUGAACUGCAGUGGUUCAAGAAGAUGGUUCAAUCCCACGUUCUCAAGGUUAAUUAGGGAUGGGCAAUAAAUAAUGGGCAUGCUAGCCAGGCUCACAUCCCUCAAAUGAAUUAAACAAAUGGUGCCUAAGUGCAUGAAUCACUAAAAGCUACAAGUGCUAACGGAAAUCAAAAAUAUAUAAUGGAAUGCUGGCCGUUAUCUCAAGGGUUUGGAAUACAAAAGUGAAGAAGCUGUGCCUUCAGAGACCCAUCUGAAGUACUGUGUUCAAUUUUGCACAGGUAGCAUCUACAUAUUAACUCAUUCUUAUUGUCAGCUAAUCUCGUUACCUGCUGAUUCAGUGUGCUGACAUUGUAAUUACUGUUUGCUUGUUUUAUUGACACCAUUAACUCUCUAUUUAUGUACAAGUUAUGUUUUAAACUUCUUAAAUUUCAAGUAUAAUAAAUGAACAGUGUUAUGACAACAGGAAA